GUACCACUUCUUCAGCAGGUUUUUGUUCUUUUGGUCGCCGUUUGCCUGUUGGCCAUUUAACUUCUCUAGGUUCUUCAUCUUGUUUCGGUUUUUCUUUUACAGUGGGUUUUAGUUUAACAACCUCCGGUACUUCUUCCUCGGCUGCCUCUGUUUUCGGCACAGGUUUGAGUACCACUUCUUCAGCAGGUUUUUCUUCUUUUGGUCGCCGUUUGCCUGUUGGCCAUUUAACUUCUCUAGGUUCUUCAUCUUGUUUCGGUUUUUCUUUUACAGUGGGUUUUAGUUUAACAACCUCCGGUACUUCUUCCUCGGCUGCCUCUGUUUUCGGCACAGGUUUGAGUACCACUUCUUCAGCAGGUUUUUCUUCUUUUGGUCGCCGUUUGCCUGUUGGCCAUUUAACUUCUCUAGGUUCUUCAUCUUGUUUCGGUUUUUCUUUUACAGUGGGUUUUAGUUUAACAACCUCCGGUACUUCUUCCUCGGCUGCCUCUGUUUUCGGCACAGGUUUGAGUACCACUUCUUCAGCAGGUUUUUCUUCUUUUGGUCGCCGUUUGCCUGUUGGCCAUUUAACUUCUCUAGGUUCUUCAUCUUGUUUCGGUUUUUCUUUUACAGUGGGUUUUAGUUUAACAACCUCCGGUACUUCUUCCUCGGCUGCCUCUGUUUUCGGCACAGGUUUGAGUACCACUUCUUCAGCAGGUUUUUCUUCUUUUGGUCGCCGUUUGCCUGUUGGCCAUUUAACUUCUCUAGGUUCUUCAUCUUGUUUCGGUUUUUCUUUUACAGUGGGUUUUAGUUUAACAACCUCCGGUACUUCUUCCUCGGCUGCCUCUGUUUUCGGCACAGGUUUGAGUACCACUUCUUCAGCAGGUUGUUCUUCU